rnacentral:rRNA from 1 species
UACGUAGGGUGCGAGCGUUAAUCGGAUUUACUGGGCGUAAAGCGUACGUAGGCGGCUUGUUAAGCAAGAUGUGAAAUCCCCGGGCUCAACCUGGGAAUGGCAUUUUGAACUGGCAGGCUCGAGUUCUGAAGAGGGUGGUAGAAUUUCCAGUGUAGCGGUGAAAUGCGUAGAUAUUGGAAGGAAUACCGGUGGCGAAGGCGGCCACCUGGUCAGAAACUGACUCUGAGGUACGAAAGCGUGGGGAGCAAACAGG